rnacentral:rRNA from 1 species
UACGUAGGUGGCAAGCGUUGUCCGGAUUUACUGGGCGUAAAGGGCGUGCAGGCGGUCUGUUAAGUGCAGGGUGAAAGCUCCCGGCUCAACUGGGAGAGGUCCUUGCAUACUGGCGGACUUGAGGGGGGUAGAGGAAAGUGGAAUUCCCGGUGUAGUGGUGAUAUGCGUAGAUAUCGGGAGGAACACCUGUGGCGAAGGCGGCUUUCUGGGCCCUAACUGACGCUGAGACGCGAAAGCGUGGGGAGCGAACCGG